AUCAUCCGCAAUGGACGGAAGUCUGACGGUGCAACGCCGCGUGAGCGACGAAGGUUUUCGGAUCGUAAAGCUCUGUUGUGAGGGAAGAACAAGGAUAGGAGUAACUGUCUAUCCCUUGACGGUACCUCACCAGAAAGCCACGGCUAACUACGUGCCAGCAGCCGCGGUAAUACGUAGGUGGCAAGCGUUGUCCGGAAUUAUUGGGCGUAAAGCGCACGCAGGCGGUCCUUUAAGUCUGAUGUGAAAGCCCACGGCUCAACCGUGGAGGGUCAUUGGAAACUGGGGGACUUGAGUGCAGAAGAGGAAAGUGGAAUUCCAAGUGUAGCGGUGAAAUGCGUAGAGAUUUGGAGGAACACCAGUGGCGAAGGCGACUUUCUGGUCUGUAACUGACGCUGAGGCGCGAAAGCGUGGGGAGCAAACA
rnacentral:rRNA from 1 species